rnacentral:lncRNA from 1 species
GUAAUGAGAAGAUCCAGAAGCAUUUGAAAGUAUUCAUGUCAAUGAACAGCCAAAGUAGAGAAAAGAUGUAUACAGCCAACAUCUUCAUGCCCCAGGAGCCCAAGUUUGGAGAUCUUUGUUUCAUUCUCAAAGGACAGCUCUACUUAUCCUUCCAAUGAUCACUGCCAAGUUCUCUUUAGCCAUGGGAUACAGGCGCAGAUUUAUUAUAUGAAUAUAUUACGUAGUGGCAAAGUCCAGGCUUUUAAGGGAACAGCAGAGAUUUCUGCCUUGGUUGCACAGAAGGAAGGAAUACACAUAGAAAUGAACACUAUUUGAGGAGCGAAUACAGCUGGAUAAUAAAAGAAGAGACUUUUUUUUCAAAGCUGUUCAUUUUUCAAUCCGCAAGAAUUAAGAUAUAAUUACAAAAUGACUGUCACAUGGAAUAUUAUUUGACUCCUGAGAAUGAAAGCUUUCUUUUUUAUGUAAGCAGAGAGAAAUAAAGGUUGGUGUC